rnacentral:rRNA from 2 species
UCGAGAGUUUGAUCCUGGCUCAGGACGAACGCUGGCGGCGUGCCUAAUACAUGCAAGUCGAACGCACUCUCGUUUAGAUUGAAGGAGCUUGCUCCUGAUUGAUAAACAUUUGAGUGAGUGGCGGACGGGUGAGUAACACGUGGGUAACCUGCCCUAAAGUGGGGGAUAACAUUUGGAAACAGAUGCUAAUACCGCAUAAAACCUAACACCGCAUGGUGUAGGGUUGAAAGAUGGUUUCGGCUAUCACUUUAGGAUGGACCCGCGGUGCAUUAGUUAGUUGGUGAGGUAAAGGCUCACCAAGACCGUGAUGCAUAGCCGACCUGAGAGGGUAAUCGGCCACACUGGGACUGAGACACGGCCCAGACUCCUACGGGAGGCAGCAGUAGGGAAUCUUCCACAAUGGACGAAAGUCUGAUGGAGCAACGCCGCGUGAGUGAAGAAGGUUUUCGGAUCGUAAAACUCUGUUGUUGGAGAAGAAUGUAUCUGAUAGUAACUGAUCAGGUAGUGACGGUAUCCAACCAGAAAGCCACGGCUAACUACGUGCCAGCAGCCGCGGUAAUACGUAGGUGGCAAGCGUUGUCCGGAUUUAUUGGGCGUAAAGCGAGCGCAGGCGGUUUCUUAAGUCUGAUGUGAAAGCCUUCGGCUCAACCGAAGAAGUGCAUCGGAAACUGGGAAACUUGAGUGCAGAAGAGGACAGUGGAACUCCAUGUGUAGCGGUGAAAUGCGUAGAUAUAUGGAAGAACACCAGUGGCGAAGGCGGCUGUCUGGUCUGUAACUGACGCUGAGGCUCGAAAGCAUGGGUAGCAAACAGGAUUAGAUACCCUGGUAGUCCAUGCCGUAAACGAUGAGUGCUAGGUGUUGGAGGGUUUCCGCCCUUCAGUGCCGCAGCUAACGCAUUAAGCACUCCGCCUGGGGAGUACGACCGCAAGGUUGAAACUCAAAGGAAUUGACGGGGGCCCGCACAAGCGGUGGAGCAUGUGGUUUAAUUCGAAGCAACGCGAAGAACCUUACCAGGUCUUGACAUCCUUUGACCACUCUAGAGAUAGAGCUUUCCCUUCGGGGACAAAGUGACAGGUGGUGCAUGGUUGUCGUCAGCUCGUGUCGUGAGAUGUUGGGUUAAGUCCCGCAACGAGCGCAACCCUUAUUACUAGUUGCCAGCAUUUAGUUGGGCACUCUAGUGAGACUGCCGGUGACAAACCGGAGGAAGGUGGGGACGACGUCAAAUCAUCAUGCCCCUUAUGACCUGGGCUACACACGUGCUACAAUGGAUGGUACAACGAGUUGCGAGACCGCGAGGUUUAGCUAAUCUCUUAAAACCAUUCUCAGUUCGGAUUGUAGGCUGCAACUCGCCUACAUGAAGCCGGAAUCGCUAGUAAUCGCGGAUCAGCAUGCCGCGGUGAAUACGUUCCCGGGCCUUGUACACACCGCCCGUCACACCAUGAGAGUUUGUAACACCCAAAGCCGGUGAGGUAACCCUUCGGGGAGCCAGCCGUCUAAGGUGGGACAGAUGAUUAGGGUGAAGUCGUAACAAGGUAGCCGUAGGAGAACCUGCGGCUGGAUCACCUCCUUUCUAAGGAAUAAUACGGAAAACCUUGUACAUUUGCGAAAUCAAAACUUUGUUUAGUUUUGAGAGGUCUACUCUCAAACUUUGUUCUUUGAAAACUGGAUAAUAAGUAAUAUAUUAGUUUUAAAAGCCGAGAAAAACAUUGCGUUUUAAAGAGUUUUUUAAUAA